ACCCAGCAGAGGCCUCGCCCCCCGAGCGGUGGCGGCGCGGGAC
rnacentral:SRP_RNA from 1 species